CGGGCGCUGCGGGGUUCGUUUGGUGUCUAUGUCCCUCGGGCCAACAGUGAUCCGAAUGGGAGCUGUGCCUUCCGGACCCGCGGGUUCGGGAUACGGCGCCCACCUGCUUACGCAGGCCGGAGAGGAUUGCACGACCGACGGCCAUCGCGGCUCCGCC
rnacentral:other from 1 species